GCACUGCCCCGCGGGCUCCAGAGCUGCGAACGCCCCAGAGUGUGCAGGGAGGCCUGCAGAAAGAAAAUGCGGCUGAGGGUCCCCGUGGGACCCACUCAGAGGUGGGCCGUAAAGAUCCCGGAAGGGUGGAUGGCAUUAGAUACCACCUAGUACUCCAGCAAGGGCUGGGUCACCGAAUUGGGAUCUCGGCCUCUUCUUCCAGUCUGGGGAAAAGUGUGUUAAAUGCUAAACAUCAGUGUUUAUCGAGUGAGGCCCAGCCUGUCUGGCAUAAUGAUUUUUAAAAUCUACAUUCAAAUAUUAAAUAAAAACUCAACCUCCCCAAUAACAUUUGAACAUAAAUAUUAGUGUGCGCUCUCUAGGUUAGGGAAACUGAAGCUGGGAGUGUGGGUAAGGAUGCCCAGCACUUAGGAGCCACAGGGUAAGUAAUGUUUGUCCAAAACUCGGGUCCCUCCUGUACUUUCCAUUCUGUCUGUUCAUUCAUCCAGUUUAGAUAUGAAUUGGUACCAACGUGUGCCAGGUUCUGCGCUAGUGACUGACAGUGUUGGCACAGGGAGGCAGCCAUGCUCCCGAGUCCUGGGAGUGGGCAGCACUGCCCUGUGGGUCUGCACUGGCUUCCAAAUGUCUAAGUGGGCACUGUUACUCACUGUGACAGCAUCCCCAGGCUUUCUUACCUGGUAAAGCAGAAACUCAAACAUACUUACACACCAAUAUUCAUUGCAGCAUUAUUUAUGAUGGCCAAAAGAUGGAAGCAACUCCAGUGGAUGAAUGCAUACAGUUACUAUUACAGCAGGGAAGACAGACAUUGGAAAAUAAUGCCC
rnacentral:lncRNA from 1 species